UCCCGACCCCACCCGCCACUCUUCUUCUCCGUUCCUUCUGCCCCCGAGCCGUUGCCUCCUCUUCUCCUCUCGCCAAACUUAGGGCUUCGCUUCCCCUCCUCCACCACCGAUCUCCAUGGCUGCUUCGUACUCGAGGCUGCGGAUCUCUUCCCACGCCCUUUUGGCGCUUGCGUGUUCGAUCCGGGCAUUGACCGUCGAUCCCUCUGCAUCUGCAGCGGCAGCUUCGAUCCAAACUCGAUCGGCGGGUUCGCCGGAUUUCGUACCCGCAGCAAUGGCAGAGAGAGGAGGCCGUCGGGUGGUUGCUCCAGGUCUGUCCGUAAUCAGGGGCCACAGAGAUGCUUCUUCACCAAGGCGACUUCUGGAACAAUCAUGGACAGCUCUACUUCUACAUCGUCAGGCAGGAGUUGGAAUAGUUGUAUGAGAUCUUAGAUUUAUCUGAAAGUACAUGGUAACUGUUUGAACUUUGCAUUAUGAGCACUUAAUUAUGAUUUUUUCCCCAUGAUAGAGCAAUAUCUAAAUUUGUUUUUCAUUCGUCCAUAAUUCCUAUUUAAUUAAACUGGACAUCGAACACAAUGUAGCUGAAUGCUAUAGCAGAUAUUGAUAGAUAGCUAGUCAAACAUGUAUUAUCUUACGUUUUUGAGUUGUUUUCAGCUUUUCUUGCGUCCUUGUUUUGUAUUUUAGGACCAUCCUUCUGUUUUGCAUGCCACAAAGUAUAUGAUGUAAUGAUCGCUGCUGGAAUGCUUUUUUUCCAUGAGCUACUUAUGCAAUUAUUGAGUGUUUUUAAUGCGCUCAUUUAAAGUGCUAUUUUCCUGGCUUUACCAUAUGCAUUAAUCUUAGUUGUCUCUUUGGAGGUGAUCCUUUGUGGUGUUUCUGAGAACUCAAUCAAUAAGAAUUCGCUAAAGGGCUUUUGGGAUCUCAUCUUAUUUGGGUCAUUGGAUCUUUUCCUGUCAUUAAGCUAUACCGAGGGCAGUAUAAGGACCACAGAAUCUUUUUAAAACAUUCUAGUGAACUGUUUUCAAGUUCCUCCCACCUAUCCUCAGCAUUAAUCCGAAUUCUCAUCCCUUAAUUGGUGCAUUUGUUUUCCAUGAUUCUGUACGUGUUCUUCAAUAUACCCCACUUUAGCAUACAGAGCUUUUACUGUUUUCUUGUGUCCUGUCAAUUUGAGAUGGCGCUACAUAGUGUCUCACUCUCUCUGACUGCUAAAGUGCCUUUAGUUGUAUAUGGGAAAUCCAUUUCAUGAAUGUUCAUACUAUAGUGACAUUGUUUUCCUUUUGGUUCAACCUUUGAUCUUUGAAUCUUUGUGUAUACUUGACAUGGCGUUCGCUUUCUCGUUUGUUGAUUUCUUCGUGUUGAACUGAAGCUAUUCUAUUCUAAGUGUUACUAGGUGGUUCAUAUAACUUGUAAAGUUUGAAGGACACUGGUUUUGUAGUGUUCAUCGCUGAUUUCUAACUUGUAACCUUCUGUGCCUAUAUAUCCUUCAAUAGCUGUUAAGCAUACAAUGUCUCCAAUCAUCACUAAAACCAUUUUAUAUGCUUUCUGCAUUAUAUUUGCUGGUCGAUUCAUAUAUUAUUACAAUUGAAUGGAAAUGGUUUUAUAUAGUGUUCUUAGACAUUUGGUUCCAACUAACCACCCUCCGUGCCUAAAUAUUUAUUAGUGACCAUAACCUAUGAUGUUUUUAAUCAUCACUGGAACCUCUUCAUAUGAUUUUCACAUUGUGUUCUCUACGCUUGCAUACUCCCAUAUUCCUUUAUUUUAUUUUAUCUUUACAUUUAUCCCCUCUCGACCCUGUAAUUUUGAUUGCUUUAGCAAGAAAAAGCCAUGUCUGUCUACGCUCAUAUAGGUACAAGUACCUUGACAAUACUUGCUAAAUCUAUUUAGCAAUUUUUACUCUCUCGUUAAAGUAAUUGGUGAAAGUCCGCUUGUCUCUUUUGAUCCUUACUGUUAUCUUCCGUAUACAGACUGCCUUACCAAUCAUCAAUAAAUCUUCCCAUUAUAAUAUUUGAAUGAACUGGUGCUGAACACAUCCCAACAAAGGAUUAUCUUUCUGAAACAUGUUCAUGUUAGCAGAUUUAUUGUGACCGUUUAACAUGUGGGUCUCAUCAUAGUUGAGUAGUUAGUACUGUGACCAUUAGCUUUGUCUUAACAAUUCUCUGUUAUCAUUCUAGUUAAACUGUGCACAUCUUGUAUGUAUCCAUUAUGCUUCGAGUAUGUUCUAAGAUGCCUGAACAUAUAAGAAGCCUGAAUGAUAUGUUUGCAUGCAGCAUACACAUUCUUAAUAUGUUUAGAAGAGUCCUUGUAAUUUUUGCAACAGUAUCUCUGAUUUGCCGCCUAUGGAUGCAUCAAUGUGAUAUCAAGAAGCACAUCAUGUCUUCAUCGAGUUUAAUUGGUACGUUUAGGACACCAUUAAAAUGUCAUCUUUAUGUUUUGAUCACUGGAUCCUGUGAUUGACUUUCAUUAAUGUGUGCAGAGGUUGUUAUGUAAUCUAGGUCGUGCUACCUUUUUCAGAUUACAUUGAGGAAAAAGUACCAUCACUUAAGUUAGAGAGACAUUUCCUGCUAACUACUCAUGCUGCUGAUUAGUAUAUUAUUUGAACCUGCAUUUCUUUGCUGCUAUAGAAUUGCAUCUUCAAGAUUGUUUCGCUUGGACUGCUGCAUGAAUGUUGAGAUACACUAGCUUUUUUUUAUUAUCCUCAAAAGUAUUCCCUGUCAAUUCCCUUAUUGCGCAAUGAGGACCAUAUUCAUUAUACUUUAUAUUUCUCAUGUUAUUUUAAGUUUGGAUGUGAAGCAAUUUCUUUGUUCUUCCUGUAAAAACCAUGGAGAAUCUGUGUAUGUUGGUUCUUCAUUAAAUAUUUAUUUGUCGUUUCAUAUCCUUGCUUUAGCACUUCCUAAUCUAGGGAUUAGGAUUUAAGUUGUUUGUAACAGAAAUGCUUUUUUUUUUUUUUUUGCUCAAGGUGUCAUCUUUUAGUUGUAGACGGAGGCACAUUGAUCAACUUAUACUACUACAAAAGUCAAAAUUUUAGUUGUUGGUCUUUUAUAUUUUAUAUUGGAAAUUUGUAGUCCAGCCAGAAAGAUUCACUAAAUAUAAUUCCCACUUAAUUCAUGACAGAUUUGUGCUGUGGCCUUUGAGAGUGUUAUGACAACAAGCCCAUUCUGGAGAAAAAGGAAAAAAAAAUGAAUUUUCCAUAUGGAUCAAAGUAUUUAUAUGAAGAAUGCCUCCCCAAAGCUGAUUCAGACCCACCGUCGGCAUCCAUUAAGCAGAUGCGAAGGUUUGGCUCAAACGACAUUACAUGCUGAUGAGUCAGGUCAAGGUCAGGUUUGCACUUGCAUCAACCGAGGUAUAAAGUAUUAAUCCAUCACCAAUUGUUUAUUUUAGAGUCGAUUUAACCUUGAUUAUAUAUCUCACGACUCAUCCUCAUUGGCUUAUUACACACUCUCUUACUCGGACGAGGUCAUAAAUUAAUUUUUUUUCUUCUUUUUUUACACUAUUUUUUUUGCUGUUUUAAAGGGUGGAAUAGUUGAACCCUGGGAUCAUUCUUUUUUAUUCUUUUACUAUGAAUAUAUUCAUGUAUAAUGAAAUAUGGGUCACGGUAUAAUGAUCGGGAUUGAAUCUCGAAAAUAAUCUGUAUACAUAAAUAUGUAAUCGUGUACAUUAAUCAUUCUGGGAUUUGCAUUUAAGGAACUUAUACAUUGUUUUUUCCUUCA